CUACGGGAGGCACCAGUGGGGAAUAUUGGACAAUGGGGGAAACCCUGAUCCAGCAAUGCCGCGUGUGUGAAGAAGGCCUGCGGGUUGUAAAGCACUUUCGGUUGGGAGGACUGCUUCUAGCACUAAUAUUGUUGGAAGUUGACGUUACCUUCAGAAGAAGCACCGGCUAACUCCGUGCCAGCAGCCGCGGUAAUACGGAGGGUGCAGGCGUUAAUCGGAAUUACUGGGCGUAAAGCGCGCGUAGGCGGCUAGAUCAGUCGGGUGUGAAAGCCCCGGGUUUAACCUGGGAACUGCAUCCGAUACUGUCUAGCUUGAGUACAGGAGAGGAGAGUGGAAUUCCACAUGUAGCGGUGAAAUGCGUAGAUAUGUGGAGGAACACCAAUGGCGAAGGCAGCUCUCUGGCCUGAUACUGACGCUGAGGUGCGAAAGCGUGGGGAGCAAACAGGAUUAGAUACCCGAGUAGUC
rnacentral:rRNA from 1 species